rnacentral:lncRNA from 1 species
GUGCGCGUCUUGAUGAUGUCACCGUGACGUCAGAGCUCUCUGUGGGCGUUGCUGAUGUUGUGGUGAUGUCACCGUGAUGUCAGAGCUCUCCGUGGGGAUGGCGGACAUCGUGGUGAUGUCACAAUGAUGUCAGAGCUUGCCAUGGGUGUUGCGGUGACGUCACGGUGACAUCAGAGCUCGCCGCGGUGAUGUCAGAGUUUGCCACAAUGAUGUCAGAGCUCGCCACCAUGAUGUCAGAGCUCGCUGUGAUGAUGUCAGAGCUCGCUGUGAUGAUGUCAGAGCUCGCCACCAUGACGUCAGAGCUCGCCACAAUGUCAGAGCU